GCAUAGCCGACCUGAGAGGGUGAUCGGCCACACUGGAACUGAGACACGGUCCAGACUCCUACGGGAGGCAGCAGUAGGGAAUCUUCCGCAAUGGGCGAAAGCCUGACGGAGCAACGCCGCGUGAGUGAUGAAGGUCUUCGGAUCGUAAAACUCUGUUAUUAGGGAAGAACAUAUGUGUAAGUAACUGUGCACAUCUUGACGGUACCUAAUCAGAAAGCCACGGCUAACUACGUGCCAGCAGCCGCGGUAAUACGUAGGUGGCAAGCGUUAUCCGGAAUUAUUGGGCGUAAAGCGCGCGUAGGCGGUUUUUUAAGUCUGAUGUGAAAGCCCACGGCUCAACCGUGGAGGGUCAUUGGAAACUGGAAAACUUGAGUGCAGAAGAGGAAAGUGGAAUUCCAUGUGUAGCGGUGAAAUGCGCAGAGAUAUGGAGGAACACCAGUGGCGAAGGCGACUUUCUGGUCUGUAACUGACGCUGAUGUGCGAAAGCGUGGGGAUCAAACAGGAUUAGAUACCCUGGUAGUCCACGCCGUAAACGA
rnacentral:rRNA from 1 species